AGUGAACGCUGGCGGCGUGCCUAAUACAUGCAAGUCGAACGAAGUGGCGCACGGGUGAGUAAUAUAUAGUUAAUCAGCCCUACACAGAGGAACAACAGUUGGAAACGACUGCGAAUACCUCAUAGUGUAGGAUGAGACUAUAUCGUAUCAGCUAGUUGGUAAGGUACUGGCUUACCAAGGGUAUGACGCGUCAAUGGUCUGAGAGGAUGAUCAGUAACAUUCGAACGUAGACACGGUUCGACAUCCUACGGGAGGCAGCAGUAAGGAAUAUUGCGAAAUGGGGGAAACUCUGACGCAGCUUCGCAGCGUGGAGGAUGACACUUGUCGGAGAGUAAAGUCCUUUUAUCAGGAAAGCGGUACCUGACGAAUAAGCACCGGCUAACUCCGUGCCAGCAGCCGCGGUAAUAC
rnacentral:rRNA from 1 species